rnacentral:rRNA from 1 species
GAUUAACGCUAGCGGAAGGCAUAAUACAUGCAAGUCGAACGGGAUAGAACUUAGCAAUAGGUUCUUGAGAGUGGCGCACGGGUGCGUAACACGUAUGCAACCUGCCCUUAAUCGGGGGAUAGCCUCUCGAAAGAGAGAUUAAUACCCCAUAACAUAUUUGUUAGGCAUCUAAUGAAUAUUAAAACUCCGGUGAUUAAGGAUGGGCAUGCGGCUGAUUAGGUAGUUGGUGAGGUAAUGGCUCACCAAGCCAACGAUCAGUAGGGGGUCUGAGAGGAUGUCCCCCCACACUGGUACUGAGACACGGACCAGACUCCUACGGGAGGCAGCAGUAGGGAAUAUUGGACAAUGGAGGCAACUCUGACCCAGCCAUUCCGCGUGCAGGAAUAAGGCCCUAUGGGUCGUAAACUGCUUUUGUAUGGGAAAAAAUCAUCUUACGUGUAAGGUGUUGAUGGUACCAUGAGAAUAAGGAUCGGCUAACUUCGUGCCAGCAGCCGCCGUAAAAC